UGCUCGUCUCUUUAUCAUUGUUGUUCAUGCCAUAUCUGGAUCCACUCUAAUCUCUCUUUCCUUUUUCAUCUCUCUAUAUAUAUAUAUUCAGAUACCAUCUGCAGGUAGGGGUUCCUAUGGCUCUUUGGGUCUAGUUUCUGGUUUAUCCUUCAAAUUGCUGAUCUGACAUUAUGUUACGAGGGGAAACGAUACGAUUUAUCCAAACAUUGUAUUCAUCAAACAAUACAGUACAAUACGAUACAAUACUAUUCAUUAUGAAGCAAUAUGUGACAACCAUCCAAACAACCCCGCUACUUUAAAGAAUUUCUCUUUUUCGGAGAGAUAGAGAGAGAGAGAGAGGGGUGGGGUGAUGCUUCCAUUAAAGCUAGUACGUUCGUUGGUUUCAGGAGAUGCCAUUGCCAAUCCCACCCGCCUUGUUAGCUUACCCUUUCAUCAGAGUGAUCACACUGACCAUGAGAGCAAGUUUGAUGAAAACAUAGCCCUAAGCAGCAUGUCUAGCACAGAAAAGAUCGCUUUGAUGCUCUUCGUUCCGACCAGGGAAUUGGUGAAAGAUUCAUAUAGACUGGCCACAUUAGCUAGAGAUAUUGGAAUGGAUCUUUUCCCAAACCCAUCUCUUUCGCACAUCAUCUUCUCAUGGCCAAACACACACACAAACUCCAAUUCUUCAUCUCCAUCUGUGUCUUUGUCUUGGUCAUCGGCUUCCCUCUUAUCAAACGAUGCUGCUCCGCUUCCCUUUCCAUCUCUUGCCACUGCGUCUCUGUCCAACUUGCGCCUCUUCGCUAAUCUCUCAAAGGGCUUUUUCAAGUUGGUUUUCUUGAAAUCUAAUCACAACCCAUUUCACGAUAUCAGUAGCUAUUCGAGCAACAAUAAUUGGGAUGUCACAACCCUUUCGUUGGUUUCGAAGAACACUGGGAUUAGAAUUGAUUCUAUGGAUCGGUUUUCCAAGUCUUUGCUUGGAGUAGGUUGGACACUAUUUAAGUCUAAGACGAGCAGUGAUUCUAGGGAUAAGCAUUCAGUUGUAUAUCUGUAUAAGAAGCUAGAUUUAAAUAGAGUUCAUUUUAGAUGGCCAUAUGAAAACGAAACUGGGAUUUGUUCAAGUCCGAGUCCAAGUCCGAGUCCAAGUCCGGGUGAAUCUUGUAGGGUUAGAGAAUUGAGGCUGCCCCAAUUGGACUUCAAAAAUGCACCUUUGAGGAUUUUGCAGUACAUUCUUCUGAUGACUGAUGACGUCUUCUAUCUUACAUAGUUUUUCUCAGGUGAGUUUUUCAAUCUGAUAGUUAAUUACAGUAAUUACUUUUUCCCUGGAUGGGAGCUGCUAGAGUUGGUGAAAAGAAAAAGUGAAGUGUGUCUCUUGCACAUUUUGAUGA